ensembl:snRNA U6 U6 spliceosomal RNA
UUGGAAUGGCAGCACAUAUACUAAAAUUGGAGCAAUACAGAAAAGAUUAGCGUGGCCACUGAGCAAGGACGACAUGCAAAUUCGUGAGAUGUUCUAUAUUUUG